GAUGAAGAACGUAGCAAAAUGCGAUAAGUAAUGUGAAUUGCAGAAUUCAGUGAAUCAUCGAAUCUUUGAACGCACAUUGCGCCCGCUGGUAUUCCGGCGGGCAUGCCUGUUCGAGCGUCAUUUCAACCCUCAAGCCCCCGGGUUUGGUGUUGGGGAUCGGCUCUGCCCUUCUGGGCGGUGCCGCCCCCGAAAUACAUUGGCGGUCUCGCUGCAGCCUCCAUUGCGUAGUAGCUAACACCUCGCAACUGGAACGCGGCGCGGCCAUGCCGUAAAACCCCAACUUCUGAAUGUUGAACUCGCAUCAGGUAGGAAUACCCGCUGAACUUAAGCAUAUCAAUAAGCGGAGGG
rnacentral:misc_RNA from 1 species